rnacentral:rRNA from 1 species
UACGAAAGGGGCUAUCGUUGUUCGGAAUUACUGGGCGUAAAGCGCACGUAGGCGGCCUGCCAAGUUAGGGGUGAAAGCCCAGAGCUCAACUCUGGAAUUGCCUCUAAAACUGGUAAGCUCGAGGAUGUGAGAGGUGAGUGGAAUUCCGAGUGUAGAAGUGAAAUUCGUAGAUAUUCGGAAGAACACCGGUGGCGAAGGCGACUCACUGGACCGGCACUGACGCUGAGGCGCGAAAGCUAGGGGAGCAAACGGG